CGUCAUAUGUAAAUAGAGGCGUACAAGAACCGAAUGAUUAAAACUGUGUUAGCCUUUGUUUAGCAAAACAUUUCUAUAUAGAUGUACUGGUAAAAGUUUAUGAACAUCCUGUUUUACAGUAUUUCACCAGGUAACAUUGAACCAUUUAAUAAACGAAUAAAUGUUGCUUUUAAUCUAAAAAUAUCUGGAAUAUUAUCUGGCACAACUGUCCGCUGCACCACACGAAUGGCUACG
rnacentral:lncRNA from 1 species